UGAGGAAUAUUGCACAAUGGGCGAAAGCCUGAUGCAGCGACGCCGCGUGGGUGAAGAAGGUUUUCGGAUCGUAAAACCCUUUUCUGUGUGACGAGAGAGGACGGUAGCACAGGAAUAAGUCUCGGCUAACUACGUGCCAGCAGCCGCGGUAAAACGUAGGAGACAAACGUUAUCCGGAGUUACUGGGCGUAAAGGGCGUGUAGGUGGUUUCGUAAGUCUGGCGUGAAAUUUCUCGGCUUAACCGAGGCAGGUCGUCGGAUACUGCGGAGCUAGAGGACGGUAGAGGCGUGUGGAAUUCCGGGUGUAGUGGUGAAAUGCGUAGAGAUCCGGAGGAACACCAGUGGCGAAGGCGACACGCUGGGCCGUACCUGACACUGAUGCGCGACAGCAUGGGGAGCAAACAGG
rnacentral:rRNA from 1 species